rnacentral:rRNA from 1 species
CGUGAGGGAAGACGGCCCUAAGGGUUGUAAACCUCUUUUGCCGGGGAGCAAAAGCGCCGUGCGCGGUGCUAUGAGAGUACCCGGAGAAAAAGCAUCGGCUAACUCCGUGCCAGCAGCCGCGGUAAUACGGAGGAUGCGAGCGUUAUCCGGAUUUAUUGGGUUUAAAGGGUGCGUAGGCGGACAGUUAAGUCAGCGGUCAAAACGGGCGGCUCAACCGCCUGCCGCCGUUGAAACUGGCAGUCUAGAGUGGGCGAGAAGUACGCGGAAUGCGCGGUGUAGCGGUGAAAUGCAUAGAUAUUGCGCAGAACUCCGAUUGCGAAGGCAGCGUACCGGCGCCCGACUGACGCUGAGGCACGAAAGCGUGGGGAUCGAACAGGAUUAGAUACCCUGGUAGUCCACGCAGUAAACGAUGGACACUAUCUGUUCGGGUCGAUAGAGAUCUGAGUGGCACAGCGAAAGCGUUAAGUGUCCCACCUGGGGAGUACGCCGGCAACGGUGAAACUCAAAGGAAUUGACGGGGGCCCGCACAAGCGGAGGAACAUGUGGUUUAAUUCGAUGAUACGCGAGGAACCUUACCCGGGCUCAAACGCACGACGGCGGCACGUGAAAGCGUGCUUACCUACGGGACGUUGUGCGAGGUGCUGCAUGGUUGUCGUCAGCUCGUGCCGUGAGGUGUCGGCUUAAGUGCCAUAACGAGCGCAACCCCCAUCCGCAGUUGCCAGCAGGUAAAGCUGGGGACUCUGCGGAGACUGCCGGCGCAAGCUGAGAGGAAGGCGGGGAUGACGUCAAAUCAGCACGGCCCUUACGUCCGGGGCGACACACGUGUUACAAUGGCAGGGACAGAGGGAAGCCACCGGGCGACCGGGCGCGGACCCCGAAACCCUGUCUCAGUUCGGAUCGGAGUCUGCAACUCGACUCCGUGAA